CGCGAGGGAAAGGCGAAAAGAACCCCGGCGAGGGGAGUGAAAAAGAACCUGAAACCGUGUACGUACAAGCAGUGGGAGCACGCUCAGGCGUGUGACUGCGUACCUUUUGUAUAAUGGGUCAGCGACUUAUAUUCUGUAGCAAGGUUAACCGAAUAGGGGAGCCGAAGGGAAACCGAGUCUUAACUGGGCGUUAAGUUGCAGGGUAUAGACCCGAAACCCGGUGAUCUAGCCAUGGGCAGGUUGAAGGUUGGGUAACACUAACUGGAGGACCGAACCGACUAAUGUUGAAAAAUUAGCGGAUGACUUGUGGCUGGGGGUGAAAGGCCAAUCAAACCGGGAGAUAGCUGGUUCUCCCCGAAAGCUAUUUAGGUAGCGCCUCGUGAAUUCAUCUCCGGGGGUAGAGCACUGUUUCGGCAAGGGGGUCAUCCCGACUUACCAACCCGAUGCAAACUGCGAAUACCGGAGAAUGUUAUCACGGGAGACACACGGCGGGUGCUAACGUCCGUCGUGAAGAGGGAAACAACCCAGACCGCCAGCUAAGGUCCCAAAGUCAUGGUUAAGUGGGAAACGAUGUGGGAAGGCCCAGACAGCCAGGAUGUUGGCUUAGAAGCAGCCAUCAUUUAAAGAAAGCGUAAUAGCUCACUGGUCGAGUCGGCCUGCGCGGAAGAUGUAACGGGGCUAAACCAUGCACCGAAGCUGCGGCAGCGACGCUUAUGCGUUGUUGGGUAGGGGAGCGUUCUGUAAGCCUGCGAAGGUGUGCUGUGAGGCAUGCUGGAGGUAUCAGAAGUGCGAAUGCUGACAUAAGUAACGAUAAAGCGGGUGAAAAGCCCGCUCGCCGGAAGACCAAGGGUUCCUGUCCAACGUUAAUCGGGGCAGGGUGAGUCGACCCCUAAGGCGAGGCCGAAAGGCGUAGUCGAUGGGAAACAGGUUAAUAUUCCUGUACUUGGUGUUACUGCGAAGGGGGGACGGAGAAGGCUAUGUUGGCCGGGCGACGGUUGUCCCGGUUUAAGCGUGUAGGCUGGUUUUCCAGGCAAAUCCGGAAAAUCAAGGCUGAGGCGUGAUGACGAGGCACUACGGUGCUGAAGCAACAAAUGCCCUGCUUCCAGGAAAAGCCUCUAAGCAUCAGGUAACAUCAAAUCGUACCCCAAACCGACACAGGUGGUCAGGUAGAGAAUACCAAGGCGCUUGAGAGAACUCGGGUGAAGGAACUAGGCAAAAUGGUGCCGUAACUUCGGGAGAAGGCACGCUGAUAUGUAGGUGAAGUCCCUCGCGGAUGGAGCUGAAAUCAGUCGAAGAUACCAGCUGGCUGCAACUGUUUAUUAAAAACACAGCACUGUGCAAACACGAAAGUGGACGUAUACGGUGUGACGCCUGCCCGGUGCCGGAAGGUUAAUUGAUGGGGUCAGCGCAAGCGAAGCUCUUGAUCGAAGCCCCGGUAAACGGCGGCCGUAACUAUAACGGUCCUAAGGUAGCGAAAUUCCUUGUCGGGUAAGUUCCGACCUGCACGAAUGGCGUAAUGAUGGCCAGGCUGUCUCCACCCGAGACUCAGUGAAAUUGAACUCGCUGUGAAGAUGCAGUGUACCCGCGGCAAGACGGAAAGACCCCGUGAACCUUUACUAUAGCUU
rnacentral:rRNA from 1 species